CAACAGGAUGCUUUCGAUGGUGCAUCUGUAGAAGUUUAAUGUGUAGGCGUACUCCGCCAACAGAGUGGGACUGACGAUCCGCUACUUGCGCUUGGAUCUUCUUGAAGUGCGGCUCAGGAAACAGGAGAAACAUCUUACUGAGCUGAGGAGAGAAAUCAACAAAACAAAUAGAACACAACGCAGACACGACCAGACAGACUGAGGCCACAGAUCUAUGAAACAAAUUCCUCCUGCUGUUACUUCCUCUGGUACUUCUUUUACUGUGAAAGCAAGAAAACUAUGCUGCUAAAUAUUCUCUUGUAUCAAACCAGUGUAUCAAUGUGGUUAUUAUUCAAACCAGUCUAUCAAGUAUUAUUAUAUUUGUGAAAUGUGUUAGCGCUAUGUAGUUCUCAUAAUAUUUUGGUGUCAGUUGUCAGGCAGCCCGGGAUGUAAAGGUGGAAAUUCUCUAAGUGAUUUUUAUUAAGAUCAAGUCCCUCUCGUCUCUACCUUUAACAAGGUGUACACAACUUACUACUAUUAGUAAAACUGUUCCAGUUCACUCUUUUUUUUAUUAGUUGAAAUAGCUAAAGACAGACAAACAGGGAGAUAAUCAUGGGGGACUGCCGUUGCCCCAGGGGGGUUUCGACUGGGCCACACUUCACAAGAUGGAAAAAACGUCACACUUUAAUUAGUGCUCUGGCACAGAGGAAAAAAAGAACGACGACAUAUUGGGGAGUAUAGUAUCAUGCGUGUGGGUGCACAAAUAUCUAUCAGGGUCUCCCGUUAAUGUGUGUCCUUAUGACUGAAAGUGUAUUUAUGUGUGUGUUAGUCGGUCUGUGUGUUUUUCCAAAGCACCUAAUCCUCGGCACAAAAUGGGCGGGUCUUAAUGACAUCAUUGUCUGGAUAUUUGUGGCGCUCAGAAACUUUAUUAACACUUGUAAGCGAGUCAAGUUAACAGACACCUUUUGCAUUACUUUCAGUUGUCAGCCCCAGGAGCCCACACUCAGAAUGACUCCCUUUUAGGACAGCAAUACACUAUAGCAUGUCAUGAGUGAAAUUUCCACUGCCUACUCUGUCUCUUUUCAUAUGUCAUCAUGUCAACGCAUCUGUUCAAAUUCAGCCUAGGAGCUUUGCUCCAAUGCUGAAAGAAAAUGAGACGUUUUAUAAUUUCUUGUUUGCUUUUACUUUUUCCAUUUGAUUGGUUUUCCCUGUAAAGUGUGUUGCGAUUUUAAAUGCAUAAAGUUUGAUUCAAUCUAAUUUAGGUUACUCGCC